UGGCGAACGGGUGAGUAACGCGUGAGGAACCUGCCUCAAAGAGGGGGACAACAGUUGGAAACGACUGCUAAUACCGCAUAAGCCCACGGGUCGGCAUCGACCUGAGGGAAAAGGAGCAAUCCGCUUUGAGAUGGCCUCGCGUCCGAUUAGCUAGUUGGUGAGGUAACGGCCCACCAAGGCGACGAUCGGUAGCCGGACUGGGAGGUUGAACGGCCACAUUGGGACUGAGACACGGCCCAG
rnacentral:rRNA from 1 species